rnacentral:rRNA from 1 species
AUUGAACGCUGGCGGCAGGCCUAACACAUGCAAGUCGAGCGGAGCGGCGGACGGGUGAGUAAUGCCUAGGAAUAUGCCUGGUAGUGGGGGAUGACGUACGGAAACGGGCGAUAAUACCGCAUACUAGCAGAUGAGCCUAGGUCGGAUUGGCUAGUUGGUGGGGUAAAGGCCUACCAAGGCGACGAUCCGUAACUGGUCUGAGAGGAUGAACAGUCACACGGGAACUGAGACACGGUCCAGACUCCUACGGGAGGCAGCAGUGGGGAAUAUUGGACAAUGGGCGAAAGCCUGAGCCAGCCAUGCCGCGUGUGUGAAGAAGGUCGUCGGAUUGUAAAGCACUUUAAGUUGGGAGGCGUUACCAACAGAAUAAGCACCGGCUAACUUCGUGCCAGCCGCCGCGGUAAUUC